GGAAUUCCUGGGCUAGAGGUCGGAGCUGAGCCUCAGUUGUGACCUAUGCCGCAGCUGUGGCAUUGCUGGAUCCUUUAAAUCACUGUGCCAGUCUAGGGAUGGAACCUGCGUCCUGACACUGCAGAGAUGCCACUGAUCCCAUUGAGCCACAGCAGGAACUCCUAUUUUUACUUUUUAAAAGAACUUCCAUACUGUUUUCCAUAGGGACUGUACCAAUUUACAUUCCCACCAAAAGCAUAGGAGAGUUCCCUUUUCUCCACACCCUCUCUAGCAUUUGUUUGUAGACUUUUUAAUGAUGGCCAUGCUGACUGGUGGGAGGUAGCAAUUCACUGUAGUUUUGAUUUGCAUUUCUUUAAUAAUUAGCAAUAUUGAACAUUUUUUUUUCAUGUGCCUAUUGGCCAUUUGUAUUUCUUUGGAGAAAUGUCUGUUUAGGUCUUUUGUCCAUUUUUCAAUUGCAUUGUUUGUUUUUUAGUUAUUGAGUUGUGUGAGCUGUUGGUAUAUUUUGGAAAUUAAGCUCUUGUCAGUCACAUCAUUUGCCAAUAUUUUUUCUCAUUCUGUAGGUUGUCUUUUCAUUUUGUUCAUGGUAUCCUUUGCUGUACAAAACUUGUAAGUUUGAUUAGGUCCCACUUGUUUAUUUCUGUUUUUAUUUCUGUUGCCUUGGAAGACUGACCUAAGAAAACAUUGGUAUGAUUUGUCAGAGAAUGUUUUUUGCCUGUGACCUCUUCUAGGAGUUUUAUGAUGUCAUAUUUUAUGUUUAAGUCUUUAAGCAAUUUUGAGUUUAUUUUUGUGUGUGAUAAUUUACAUGCAUCUGUCCAGUUUUCCCAACACCACUUGCUGGAGAAACUGUCUUUUUCCCAUUGUAUAUUCUUGCCUUCUUUGUUGAAGAGUAAUUGAUCAUAGGUGUGUGGGUUUAUUUCUGAGUUUUCUAUUCUGUUCCAUUGUUUCUGUGCCAGUACCAUGCUGUUUUCAUUCCUGUAGCUUUGCAGCAUUGUCUGAAGUCUGGGAGGGUUAUGCCUCCUGCUUUGUUCUUUUCCUUCAGGAUUGCAUGGCAAUUCUGGGUCUUUCAUGGUUUCAUAUAAAUUUUAGGAUUAUUUGUUCUAGUUCUGUGAAAAAUGUCAUGAAUAAUUUGAUAGGGAUCACAUUAAAUCUGUAGCUAGCUUUGGGUAAUAUGGCCAUUUAACACAUUAAUUCUUCUAAUCCUGGAGUUCCUGUCGUGGUACGGUGGAAACGAAUCCGACUAGGAACUAUGAGGUUGCAGGUUCGAUCCCUGGCCUUGCCCAGUGGGUUAAGGAUCUGGCGUUGCCGUAAGCUGUGGUGUAGGCUGCAGACGCAGCUCAAAUCCCGCAUUGCUGUGGCUAUGGCGUAGGCUGGCAGCAACAGCUCUGAUUAGACCCCUAGGCUGGGAACCUCCAUAUGCCAUGAGAGUGGCCCUAGAAAAGGCAAAAAGACAAAAAAAAAAAAAAAUUCUUCCAAUCCAAGAGCAUAGGAUAUCUUUCCAUUUAUUUAAAUCACUUUCAAUUCCAUUAUUAAUGUUUUAUAGUUCUCAGUGUAUACGUUUUUUGCUUUCUUGGUCAGGUUUAUUCCUAAGUAUUUUAUUUUGAGAGGUGUGAUUUUAAAAGACAUCUUUUUUUUUUUAACAUUACCUUUCUGAUAUUUCAUUGUUAAUGUGAAGAAAUGCAACCCAUUUCUGUAUGCUAAUCUUGUGUCCUGUCAAACACUUUUUAUAUGAGCUUGAUUAAAUCCAUGGGUGUGGAACCUGCAGAUACAGAGGUCCAACUGUAGAAGAGAAAGCCUGGUGCCUGGAAUAGGGUUUGGCUGGGAGUGGAGAGCCCUGCCCCAGGGGCCAUGGGAAAGACAGAUGGGGCUUCAAGAUCAGGCAUCCAGACACUGCCCCCUCCUCUUCCUGUCCAUCCGACAACAGAGUUAUCUUAUUAGGAAAAAGCACGGGCUCAUUUAAAGAGGGUUUCAAUAAGGCUAUGGCAGGCGAAUUUCCAUAAUGUCAAAUUGCAGAAGGGCAUUGUAAAUUGGUGAGAGAGAAUUUGGUCUGGGAGUUGGGGGCCUGGCUUCUGGUCAUGUCUGAGUCUUUGAGAGCUCAGCCAAAGUACCAAACCUCUCUGGGUCUCCAUCAGCUCACUGAGAAUACAGAAGUUGGAUUGGAUGAAGUAUUAGUUAUCUAAGAUGACACUAAUCAACCCACGCCUUAGUGGCAUACAGCAAACUUAUUGCUUCACAGAUUCUGUGGGGUCAGGAAUCCAGGCCAAGUCCUCUGACGUGGCUGCAGUUAAGGUGUCAGUUGGGGCUGCAGUCAUCUCCAGGUUCAACACAGAGAUGGUCUGCUUUCUAGCUCACCCAGGAUGUUGUUGGCAUUCAGACCCUCUCUGAAUUCUAGAAUAAGAGUCUCAGUUGGAAUGGAACCUCGGUUCCUCACUGACCAUUGGCUGGAGACCUCCCUUAGUCUUUUGCUACACGGGUCUUCCCAUUGGGCAGCUCAUAACAUGGCAACUGGCUUUCCUUAGUGUGAGCAAGAAAGAACAAGCAAAAUGAAAGUCGGAGCCUUUGUGACCUCCUGUCACUUUUGCCACGUGCUGUCCCAUGGAAUUGACUCACAUUGAAUCCAGCCCCACACCCAAGGGAGGGGAGUACACAAGGGGCUGAAUCCUGAGAGGCAGGACUUGUUGGGAAUGAUUUUAGAGGCUGCCUACCACACAUUCUCCAAAACCCCUCCCGGUACUCAGAUUCUGUGAAUAACCCCUCUCGCUCCCCCAGAAAAGGGCUACACAUUCUGUUUAUAACCCCAACUUCCAAGACUCUCAGCCAAGUGCCUACAUGGACUCUGACAUAUUCUUUAACUGGAGUUAAACAUGAAAAAUAUAUUCAACAGGAAAAAUCAUCUCUCCAAUAGAGUUAGACUGUGAAAAGAAAACAUUUGAGUUUUCUCGGUGUUGGUGGCAUCUACUACCUUCAUUGGACUCUUCUGGUAGACCAGAUAUCUUUUUAGAGUAGAAGGGAAAAUACGUCUUUGUUUAGAGCACUUCAGAACCAAAUGCACUGUAGCCAGCCCCCCCAGAGGACCUAGGUUGGUUUGAAAUAAGUUCUUGCAGUGCUAGGAGGAGUGUCACAAUUCAAAAGCCACUCCUGAGUCUGGCUUUCUUUGCAAAACAAUUGAAGUCAUGGAUUAUCUGCACAGCCUUUGGAAGAUGUUCACAUUUCCUCUGGAAUGAUGUGCCUUUCUUCAGAAGUCUGAAGCCUGUACCUUUGGUACAUUGGCCUGGGUCAAAUCUGGAGAAUGAGCUAAUGUCUCUAAAGCCUGAGGAUUGUUGGGUUGAUUUGAAUUAAAUGGGAUAAACCUUUCCUUGCAGAAAAUGGAAAUUAAUGUUUCUGUCUUUAUCCACUACAUAAGCACUUUGUAAAGCAGAUUUUUAACAAGAAUCUGUUUUAAUCCAUCAGAAGUCUAUAUUUCUUGUGCUAAUAAUCAUUUUAAAAAUUGUGGUCAUCACGAACCCUUCAUUUUUCAGUGACCGAGCACUCUUUCAGCUUAGAAAGUUGCUCUAUCAGCAUGUACAUACCCAUUAACUCUUUUGGAAUCUGCAGUAAAACUGAGCCUCUGUAGCUUCUCACCUCUGAACCAAAAGGCUCAGAUCUUUAUUUUUACUUGCAAUUUCUUUUUUUAUUUUACUGGACUAUAGUUGCUUUCCAAUGUUGUAUUAGUUUCAGGUGUACUAAAGUGAAUCUGUUAUACAUACACAUAUAUCCAUUCUUCUUCAGAUUCUUUUCCCAUAAAAGAAUAUUCUUUUAUUACAGACAUUGAGUAGAGUUCCCUGUACCAGAGAGUAGGUCCUUCUUGGUGCAAUUUCUGAUUUUGAGGAUUCUUCAGCAAUGCAUUUUGAAUUGGGGAAACCUUAACUGAUCCCUUUCAAUUUUCUUUGUAUCAUACUUAAGAAUCUAAGACUUAGAGAUACUUCGAUUUGUAGUUAUCAAAACUUUUUCCUACAGUUACUUACUAGGUUUUCAAACCUGGUUUAAAAAAAAAAAAAAAAAAAAAAA
rnacentral:lncRNA from 1 species